GUCCUGUGAGGAGCAGAUGAGGGAGCUGGGGGGGCUCAACCUGGAGCAAAGGAGGCUCAGGGGGGACCUUCUGGCUCUGCAACCCCCUGACAGGAGGGGGGAGCCGGGGGGGGUCGGGCUCUGCUCCAGGGAACAAGGGACAGGAGGAGAGGGAACGGCCUCAGGCUGUGCCAGGGGAGGGUCAGGUUGGACAUCAGGAGGAAUUUCUUCAUGGAAAGGGUGGUCAGGUGCUGCCCAGGGAGGUUUGGAGUGCCCACCCCUGGAGGUGCCCAAGGAAGGCCUGGCUGUGGCACUCAGUGCUCUGGGCUGGGGACAAGGUGGGGAUGGGGCACAGGGGGAUCCAUGGGCUGGGAGGGCUUUUCCAACCUAAAUAUUUCUGUGAUUCUGUGACUGUAAAGGGUCCCUGUGUGCUGUUCUUGCAGGAGGGUGACUUUUUGCAGCCUCUACAGAAGAUGUACUUCAGCUAUUGAAUUGCUCUCUGAAUGCAGGAGAAGAAUGGGAAAAACUACCAGGCCGUGCCGUGUGGGCCUGUUAGCCUUCCAUGGCUAAUUGUGCCUCCGUGGGAGAGGCCAGGCAGUGGCCUGAAGAGCACUCAGCCCUCAGAAAGGCUGGCAAGCUCUUAACUGAGCUGAGAGCUCCACGAAGAAAUUAAAUUUGGCAGUGAAAGUGCAGUACUUAGGUUAGUCUCAAGUAGUCUCGAGAUAUAAAAACGUUUCUGUGGGAGUUCUUGGCUGAGCGUGAAGGCUGAGAGAGAAGAGUCCAGCAGCCUGUGGAGUGCUGCUGCUUUAUUUGUUUCAUCCUUGUGUUGAUGGUUUUAAGAGGCCUGAAUUUAUGUCCAAGCAUUUAUCAUGCAUGCCUGGAGGAGCAGGGGCCGGUUCUCCCGUGGUGCUGGUCCCUUUGGGGCUGGUGAUGCAGUCUGAGGGCUCCUGCUCUUCCUGCUUAGGAGCUGUGAACAAAGCCUUAAAUGCAGAGGGAAACUGGGGAAACUGGGUGCUCUGGGUAUUAAAUUAGCAGAACUUCUGUUGGUGCUUCUGGAUUCCUCCUCCACAAACCUGGCUCAGCCCCAGACCCCUGGGAUGGAGCAUUUGCCAUCCUGUCCUGACAGCUGGGACAGAUGGGACAGGGACAUUCCUGGGCACUGUGACAUGGAAUCUCAGAAUGGUUUAGGCUGGAAGGGACUUUAAAGACCAUCUCAUUGCACCCCUUGCCAUGGGCAGGGACACCUUCUGCUAUCCCAGGUUGCUCCAAGCCCCGUCCAACCUGGCCUUGGACACUCCCAGGGAUGGGGCAGCCACAGCUCUCCAGGGGACAUCUGGAUAUAAAAUGCUGCAGCAAAACAGGCAGAGGAGGAGAAAUCCUGUGAUUCCAAGCCUCUCCCAUCUCCAGGCAGUCCUCCCAACUCCCAAGGCUGAUGGAGGGACGUGCAGUUUCCAGCCAUGGACAGAAACAGGAAAGCACCUUGGACAGCGUUUGUGGGUGUUGCUUAGAAAAAAACUGCUGUAUUUCUGGGUAGAGAAUGUUAUUUCUUCUCUUCCUAAUCUCCAAAGGCAAAGCUGUCUGAGCUUUUCAAAUAAUAAACCCAAGCAUAUUUUGCAUAUUACAUACCCAAGAAUAUUAUGUUUUCUUCUGUUUUUCAAGAAAUAACAAAUUGAAUUUAAGGAAUGCUGCUUGCUUUGGCACAGUUUCACACAGACCAUUCUGAAGGAUAGAAAAUCUUUCAAGGAGAAGAGGAAGAUGCUGAAAGCUGCUGGGUCCUGCUUCCCAUGUGCACAUCCAGUGCUGUCCUGGCUCAGAGAUCUGCAGGAGGCAAACCCAGGGAGUCAGAAAGGCUGAGCUCCACCUGCACUACAGAAUUAUUUGCUCACAUCACUGAAGAACGUCUCCACAGCAAGGAGUUGUGCUGGCUCAUAUUUCCUCUGCAGACUGUUUCAGAUGGAAAACAAGGAAGAUGAUCUAAAUUGGAGGUAAUAGGCUGGAAUGUGGGAUGCAGGAAGAUUACAGAUGCACCUUGAACCUGCAGGACUAAUGACUUUGUUUGUGCAUCUGCAAAAUGCUCACCUGACUUCUGCCUGGGAGAGCUGCUCCAGCCCUGUGCAAUGAAAUCACAGAUAUUUCAACUUUAGGAUCCUCUAAUACCUUGUUCAUGGUUAACAAGAGGGCUAAAGUAAUGUUCCUUUGCAAGCUGGGAGAAGUUUGGCCUGAGAUCUGAGAGGCCUGCAUGGGAAGCCCGUGAUUUCUUUUCCCACUGUAUGAGUAGAAUCCAUGAUGAAGUUGUUAAAAUUACAGGCAGGAAUAUGUUCCUCUUCAAUCCUGUUUUUUUUUUUAAAGGUAGAUGAAGUUUAAUAUUUAAACUUUUGAGUAUCUUGCAAAAUUUAGACUUUACUUUUGAAGGCAGGGGGUAGGGGAAUCCCAGAAUCCCAGAAUGGAAAUGGCCAUCAGAAAGAUCAAGGCAGUCCCAUGAUUAAAUCCCAAAUCCUGAAUCUGCUGCCUCCUGGUCUGGAUGGGGGCAUCUCCCUGUGCCUGGAAACGUGUCCCAUCAUGUUUGGCCAUGGGGGUUAUUGAUAACCUGCUGUUUUACUCUGUUCUUGAUGGCAGGCACUGCUCUGCUGUGACUCCAACACACACUGCAGGACGAGGCCCCCCUGAGGGUGUCUUGCAAAUGCAGAUGAGGUAAGAAAAGCCAUAAAAGCUUCAGAGGCCUCUUAAUUUUUCCCCUUUGAAUCAUCUGUCAUAAAAUCUCGUAGGAGAUGGGCUGUGCUCACUCAGAGGUAAAGCUAAUGUGCUCUUUGAUGCUGUUGUUUGCGAAAUCUCUGACUUAUUAGCAAUAAAUCCAGGGGCUGUGGUCGGCCUGGCAGAGCUGAGCUUUCUGCCAGCCUGUGCAUUGGAGGUGGUGCUUGAGAAAUGCUGCCCUUGGCUCUGGGAAAUGCAGGAAGCACUACAAGUGGUCGGGUCUGUGCUGGAGGAGAGGACUAACCGAAAUUCCCCGGAUUCUGGGAGCCAGUCUAUCAAAACAAAGCAGGGAUGCGCUGCUGCCGUGCAGCUCCUGCCAAGGAUGAGCUGAAACCAAACUGGCACAAACACCAGGCAGGAGUUUUUUUUUUUUAUUUUUUUUUAAUUUCAAAACCUCCACUCUUUGGGUGUAAAAACAUAGAGGAUCUAUUUUUUCUUGCUGUGUUUAACUGCUCCUGGGAUGUGUCAGGCUGCUCCUGGGCGUGUGACGCCCUCCCCAGCGCGGGCUGAGGUGGGAGCCUGAGCUCACCCUUCAUUCACUGAUGCAAGCUGGGGCACAGGGGUUUUUCCUGCAGAAAUCUGCUUUUGCUGCUCGUGACUUUUUCCCAGCAAAAUUUAACAACUGUGCAAUGUACCUGGAGCUACAAGGGGUGGAUUGAGCAAUUAAAUCUGGUUAAAGUCUUCUGGGGAGGGAGGGAAGGGCCGUGCAUGUUGCUGGGCUGCGACAGCCUGAACAAGAAAAUCAGGGAUUUUCUUCACUUGUUGCCAACCAGGCAGUUUUUGGCAGCUCUUCAGCAUCCCCUUGGUGUGGAGUAAGGAGGGGGGUGUCCAGCCCUAGCAGUGGAUAUUUCCUUCUUGUGCAAAACCCAAGAGAAUUAGCAUUGGAACACCAUGCCUGACAUUGAAGGGACUCUCAGUCUGCACCAACUGUACUCCUUGAGUUCUCAUUUGGGAAUAAAAAGUAUAAAUUGGAUGACAAAUAGUGAUUCAUUCUCAAAAAAAGUCAUUCUUUUCUUAAUUCAACUCUUGGAAUUUUCACUUAAUAUCUGAACUCCACGGUCUGAUCCAUCUCCAAUUCAUUCCUUGUCUAGUGGGUUUUAUUAACUGCAACACCCUCAGUAGCUGUUUUGUUUAGGUAAUAGAGGACAAUUCAGCCUGAAGAAAACUAAUUUUCCUCUUUCACGUGGUUUUGGUUUUCUUUUUUUUGUUCCUUGUAGUUUUUAAAUGAAUUCCAGAAAAUAGCUGUGACAAUAUGGGAAGAGAAAGACCGAAGUAAACAUUGAUUUUUACAGUGUAAUAAUUUAUGGUACCAACUUAAUAAGUGGUGUGACAUGAGCAGUUCACCAUCCAUUUAUCAUGAGUUGAUAGUUUGAUUCCGGAAUUUUUAACACCACUGCUCGCUGUGACAUUAUAAAGGACCUGCCAACAUUCCCAUUAAAACCAUGAGAUUUUAGGAGUUCUGCUUCAGCUCUAAAUAUCAGUAUUUGGACUCCAUGAAUUAUUAUGCAGAGUAACAACCUCUGAAUGACUUGUUCCAGCAACUAUAAAAAAAAUUAAGCCUUUGACAUUUUUGAACUUCAGGAGGACAUCUUCCCCUUUCCAGAAGAAAAGCCUUAUGGAUGCUUUUCAUUAUGCCCACCAUAAAAAGUUUACAAACUCAGAGACAGCUCCUCAGCUAAAAUAAAUCACUUUAAUUCCACAGAUGGCAAGGAGGAGACAGCAAUUUACAUUAAAAGGUUCUGAUGAGAGUUGUCUCGAGCUGUAGUUUGCUGGCAUAAUGGCUCCAGGCUAAUCACACUCCCUUCCAGGAGCCAUGCUGGGGUUACACAAGGGCCAAAAAUAGCAGCUGAGCUCCACGGCUGCUCUCACAGCCCCUCUCAAGGACUUCCCAGCCCGUUUUGGUCAGUGUGGAGGUCACAGCAGAGCCUGGUGACUGCCACUCUUUUGGCUGGGCUGCAGAUAAUAAUGUCAAGUCAGAUUAUUUCUGCUUCUCCCAUCACUUUCUCCUGACUCCAAAAGUGCUCUGGAGCAAAUAAAGCCCUGAUGGUCCCUCCCUGCUGCCUCCACGUGCCCUCUGUGGGGAGCCCCUCAGUGGAGUGACAAUGUAGAAACUGGUUUCUAAGGGUUGUGAUGGAUGUCCAGGUUCUCCAGACUUGCUUUUCCUAGUGAAAUCCACUUCCAUAAUAAUUCCAACCACACGUCUGGGUUAGGGACCAGGCUUUUUGAAGGCUUCAGCUUUUGCAGAAUGUCACUGGGACACAGUGCUGUGAGUUCAGCACUGCUUUGUCACAGAAUCAUGGAAUUGUUAGGGCUGGAAAAGACCUCUGACAUCAAAUCCAACUGUUGCUCAUCAAGUCCAACUGUUUGCAGCUGUGGACACCCUCAGACCUGGGGGAUUGGCUUGGGGAAGUGUGAGGUGGUGGGGGGGAUGUUCUCACCCAAUGUUUGCUUAUUAAUCACAAUGCACAGAGUUUGUUUUCGCAGAAACACCUGUGGGAGAAGAUGUGCUCCUUGUUUCCACAGCAGCCUGCAGGAUUGUCCCUAACCAGGGGCCAGGAUGGUCCCCACCCCAUCCUGGCUCCUCUCACUCUGGGGGAAGGGCAGCCACGGUUACAAACACCCCUGCAAAAACAGGGCAUUCCUCAACAUCCAAAGUGGUUUAGAGCACAGUCUGUGCCUGAAACGUUUUUCAAUUUAGCAGGAAACCCGUGUCCUCACUUCCAUUCUUUCUGGAAAAUACAGAAAUACCUCUAAUGACUGAGGACUCAAAGGGCUCCACCUCCUGGGUCUGUUGGUUCAAGAACCCCUAAAAAGAGAGAUUUAGAAAACGGAGCUCGUGGAUAAUGGGAUAAAGUGAUGAAAAGUAAGUUAACUGAUCUGCUAAAUUCUAUUUGUAUCCACGGUUUCUAAGGAAUUGCAUUAAAAAGGGUUUGUGAUUAUGUUUAACUUGGGUUGUAAGGAUUUAAUGUACCGUCUACAAGUCGUUAAACACUUUUGUUGUGA